rnacentral:pre_miRNA from 1 species
AUCACCUGGGCAUCUUGUUAAAAUGCAGAUUUUGAUUCAGGUCUAGGGUAGAGCCUGAGGCUGUGCAUUUCCAACAAGCUCCCAGGUGAUGCCAA